AGAAGGGAAAGCGAAAGAGAAGCUUAACUUCCAAGUACAGACCCCAGGCCUCUUCUGAUGAAGAGGAGUCUUGUCUUCCAGAUGCACCAGCAGUGCUGUCGUUUCAGCAACCUCUUUUGAGCUUUGAAAACCUUGUUCCCAGUAACAAGGUUUCAGUGCUGCCCGAUGCUCCAGAGGUUGCAUCGAUUCCAGAAAACCAGGAAAAUGUUGAGCCAUCUGUAGAUUUCAGAGCUGGUAUGUAAAAUGUAGUGCUGUGAAGUUUGAUUUGUGAUCCUGCCAAUAAACUAUACACUUUGUUAGAUUUUAAAAUGUCAGUUUCCUCUUUCUCAGAACCAGGUUUCUCCCCAGUAAUCCAGACUCCACUUCACAGAGCCAAGAGUUUGAGUACAAGACACUUGACGGGUUACUCACCGCAGCAGUUUGUGGAUGAAAGGUGUCGAGCUCGUCAAGUACUAAGCUUUACACCCCCAGCAGCACAUUUACCCUGGCAGCAUAUGGGUGAAAACGCUGGAGG